UUUUAAACCCGUUUACUUGCGUUAAGGUUGCAAGCUCUUCCCGUUCACGCCAGCCACUGCACACCAAGAUGACAAGAGGAAACACUGGGUCUUCUGCAUUGUCGUCUACUCGGUCAGCGGCGGCUUUCCAGGACACGCUUGCCGGAACAUGGCGGGUGCGGGUGCGUUUGUGGGACCUAGGAACGCUCCCCACCGCCUCUCGCUCGUAGCGUGUGUGCGCGCAUAGGCUCCAGCGUCCCGCGCCGGGACACGGGAACGCACGUCCCCACACCGCCUUCUCCCUCUCUGCGGCGAGACCGAAGAGAAGCUGAACAAAGUCUCUCCGAGCGCACAGACCGGAGCUGGGAGCAGCAGCAGCCGCCGAACGGGCCUGAUUUCAGUGCCAAAUUCUGCUCCACUCGAUACACAGCUAUUGGGGAGUUCUGCUGGAGCACAGCAAUGUCCCAAGAAGACUCAGAAGAACCCAGACAGGAAAGCAUUUAGGCAUAUGCUUGGCUCUAAGCAAAUCAUUACAUGGUGUCAGAAGUGCUGAAUGAGAAGAAACUGCAGUGAAGUUAACUCCUGUGUUUGCAACUGAAAGCAGAGACAAAUGGAAACUCCAGAGAAGCAUGGGGAGCACCAGGCACAGAAGCUUUUGAUGUAUUCGGUGAGCACAAUAGUAGCUUGACUAACUUAAGAAAAGGGGCGGAGGGUGGGGCUGAGCCAAAAAUGGAUGUGUUGCAACCUCCUUCCAGUCUGCAAUUGUCAGGCAAUGUUGCAGAGACCUGGAAAAAACUUAGACAGAUUUGAACUGUAUUUAGCAGUUAUUGGGCAGAGGGGAAAAAUGAUAAAGUGAAAUCAUCCAUCUUUUGGCAUGUUGUUGGGGAGGAAGCAUUAGAUAUUUAUAACAACUUUAAGUUUGAAUAAGAUGAAAGCAUGAAGUUAAAUAUAAUACUGCCUAAAUUUGAGGAACAUUACCUGCCAAAAAGAAAUGAGACCUUUGAGAGACACAUUUUUACAUUCUUCCAAAAAACUGGUGGCACCAUAGAACAACACAUCACAGAAUUAAGGAAACUCAGUAAAACUGGUGACCUUCAUUUGUUGACCAAGUCUCUGGUCAGAGAUAGAAUCAUUUGUGGCAUUAAAGACCAUGUGUUAAGAGAGAGACUGCUCUGUGAAGGAGAUAUAACUUUAGAAAAAGCUCUCCAAAUAUGCAGGGCAGCAGAAACUAUGAAAGCACAAGCCAAAGAGAUGAAUUCACCAGCAGGGGUUAUCCAUAUAAUAACUACUGAAAAAUAUAGCCAGAAUAGGUCAAAUCAGAAAGUAGAACCACUUAUUAUGAAAACCACUGCUAGGGAGAAGACUGGGUACAGAUGGUUAUAUGGAAGGUGUGGAUCACAGCAUGGCCCCAAACAACCAAUGGUUGUCUUUGGGGAAAUUGACAUAGAUAUGGGGAAAAUGAUAAUUUUGUAAAAUGCUGCAGAUCCAAAAUGCAGAAAAGUCAAAUGAAUUAAGUUAAAGAAAAUCUGAGUGAGGAGUUUUUCAUAGACAUACUGGGAUCUACCACGCCAUUUGAGAGGGAUUGGAUACUGCCUCUGACAGCGAAUGGAAGAAU